UUCGGGAGGUAUUUGGCUGUUAAGGGGUCAAUCGUGUUUCCAACUUCACAUUGAUAGAAAAAUAAGAACAUAUACGCGAUCAAUAAGAAAAAUUUAGAUGCGAUCACUGAGAGAACUUAACACUGAGAGAACAUAGAGCACUUAUACGCGAUAACUGAGAGAACUUAAGACGCGAUCAUUGAGAGAACUUAACACUGAGAGAACUUAAAGAACUUAUACGCGAUUUUUGAGAGAAAUUAGGUAAGAACUUGGUAAGAACUUAACACGCCAUUACAGAGACAAAUUAACACAUGGUCAAUGAGAGAACUUAACACUGAGAGAACUUAGCGCACUUAUACACGAUUACUGAGAGAAAUUAAUACGCGAUCAUUGAGAGAACUGAACAAUGAGAGAAUAUAGAGAACUUAUACGCGAUUAUUGAGAGAAAUUAGGUUGGAACUUAGUUAGAACUUAACACGCGAUUACAGAGACAAAUUAACACACAGUCAAUGAGAAAAC